rnacentral:misc_RNA from 1 species
UUAAUGAGAGAUUACUAACAACAUAGAAUCAUUAUUUCAACUAAAGUUCACAUCGAAACAGCUUAAUAAACAGGCGUUGAAGGCAGGAAAGGAAGA